rnacentral:rRNA from 1 species
CAAUAGCGUAUAUUUAAGUUGUUGCAGUUAAAAAGCUCGUAGUCGGAUUUUGGCUGAGAACGAUCGGUCCGCCGUUAGGUGUGCACUGAUUGGUCUCAGCUUCCUGGUGAGGAGGUGUGCUUCACGGCCACUUAGUCACCGUGGUUACUUUGAAAAAAUUAGAGUGUUCAAAGCGGGCUUACGCUUGAAUAUAUUAGCAUGGAAUAACACCAUAGGACUCCUGUCCUAUUUCGUUGGUCUCGGGACGGGAGUAAUGAUUAAGAGGAACAGUUGGGGGGCAUUCGUAUUUCAUUGUCAGAGGUGAAAUUCUUGGAUUUAUGAAAGACGAACUUCUGCGAAAGCAUUUGCCAAGGAUGUUUUCAUUGA